rnacentral:lncRNA from 1 species
AGGCGCAGGCCUCCAGUGGGAGGCUCAGGAUGGAAGCGGGCGCCCCUGACCUUGAAUGGCCCAAAGCCCAGAAUUCCUACCACGCCCCCGGCGUCCGCGAAGGAGCAGCCAACCUAACCCUACCUGCUGUGACCAGGUGGAGGUGUGUGGUGGAAGGGGAAAGCCGGCCGGCUGGCAAAGCGCUGCGGAGAAAGACACGAGGCUCCUGAGCAGGGAAAGCCGAGGUUGCCACCGCAGGCCUGGCACGACCAGGGCCGUGAUGCCCCGCCCGGCCCGACCCCCGCGCGCAGAGGUACCUGGAGACGAUUUCAACUGAAGUAAUGAAGGCAGUGUCGUGCUGUCGAGAGAAAGGUGGAUCCCAACAACAGGAAACUACCUAAAUCACCGACCAGUUCUGGUGCUGCCCGCGAAGGGCUGCCUCGCCCGCCGCCGCCGCCGCCUCCGCCGCUGCCGCCGCCGCCAAGGAGAGAACCCUGCCAUCGCGCCUGGCCCGGCCCAGCCCAGCCCCUAGGCAACCUGCGCCCGCCAGUGCAACAGAGUGCCCCAGGCGGCCGCAAAUGCGUCAAGGAAGGGGAAGCCACAGGCCCCAGUAAGCCAAAGUCAAGCCCGUUUGCCAACCUGCAUGUCCAUGCCUGUAAGCCCUUCUCUUGGCCAAGGAAGAAAGGAAGAAAGAAAAAAGAAACCCAGGGGCCUGUAUCCCCUGAUUAAACACAGCACAGCACUCCAGGCAGACAUGCCCGGUGGCGGCUCCUUUGCACCAUUGACCUCAGGCCAGACACCUCAGCGCCAACAAUGGGACCUCGGCCUUCCGGCUAGGUUUGCCCCAGGCUGGGCAGGAAACCAGCUCGGCCGAAGACAGGGGCCAUUUCGAGCAGUGGGACCCCAAGACAGCAAACCCAGCCCAGUCAGGACUUGACACUUAGGACAAUAUCUAUCUCUAUAGAAUUUUAGCAUGAUAUGGCUUUUUCCCCCAGAAAACAACAAAUAAACCAGCACCAAGCAAACACAAAGAAACAAAAAGUCAGAACAAACCAGCCCUGCACAGAUGUAACGGCCCAGGAGAUGGCGAGUGUGGGAGGGAGGAACAGGGCUCCAGCACAGGUGCGAGUUCCUGGGCAGAGCCUGAAGACAGAGGGAGGGGACCAGCGCUCGGGAAGUGAAAAAACCGCGUCGCCUGGAGAUUCAUCAGGAAAAAUUAAAGUUGGCUGUGAGCUCCCG